rfam:Mycobacterium mageritense, CIP 104973, WGS project CCBF01000000 data, contig: 000001
GGUCAUGAGCGCCAGCGACAAGCCCCGGCUUGCUGGCCGGCAACCCUCCAACCGCGGUGGGGUGCCCCGGGUGAUGACCAGGUUGAGCAGUCGUCAGCGACUGUAAGGCAAGCGCGGGUC